UGGCCCACUUGUUCUUUUCNGUUUUUC
rnacentral:piRNA from 1 species